rnacentral:rRNA from 1 species
ACGUAGGGUGCGAGCGUUAAUCGGAAUUACUGGGCGUAAAGCGUGCGCAGGCGGUUCGUUAUGUCCGAUGUGAAAGCCCCGAGCUUAACUUGGGAAUGGCAUUGGAAACUGGCGGGCUGGAGUGCGGCAGAGGGGGGUGGAAUUCCACGUGUAGCAGUGAAAUGCGUAGAGAUGUGGAGGAACACCGAUGGCGAAGGCAGCCCCCUGGGCCGACACUGACGCUCAGGCACGAAAGCGUGGGGAGCAAACAGGA